rnacentral:rRNA from 1 species
GACAGAGGAUGCAAGCGUUCUCCGGAAUGAUUGGGCGUAAAGCGUCUGUAGGUGGCUUUUUAAGUCCGCCGUCAAAUCCCAGGGCUCAACCCUGGACAGGCGGUGGAAACUACCAAGCUGGAGUACGGUAGGGCAGAGGGAAUUUCCGGUGGAGCGGUGAAAUGCGUAGAGAUCGGAAAGAACACCAACGGCGAAAGCGGCUUACUGGUCCGGAACUGACGCUGAGGUGCGAAAGCGUGGGGAGCAAACAGG